AUACAUUACAUGAAAUUUCCAUAUAUUGGAAACUAAUGCUUAUAUUUUUCAAUAUACAGCAAUAUAUGCAUUGACAAUAUAUGGCUAUAUAUUAAUGCAUGCAAAUAUUUUUUGAAAUUAAGACAAAGAUAAAUCUAAUACUCGUAAUGUUUGAUACUUUAUUAAGUAUAUAUUGCACACAGAUGCUCCCAUUUAAAUGUUAAUGUCUUUUACUGUCUAUGGUAUACACACACACACACACACAUAUAUAUUCACAGAAUGAGUUAAAGCAGUUCCCUUUCAAGGCGAUAACUCAACAGUCAGCUAAGACGUAUAUGGGAACUCCCUCCUUCUCCACUUUUGAUGAAAUCUUAUGGGCUAUGUCAGCUGGGGACAGAUGGCCAAUUGACGCGAAUCAUGCAAAUACUGACAGGCCAGUGGGCAGUAUAAAAUGCAUGGGCGCGAAAAUUACGUCAGAAUCUCUUUCUUCACGCUAGAAGUCUUAUCGAAGUCAUCGUGGAAGUUGCAUUAGAGGACUACUCACCCCUUUUUCCGCUCCACAUCCGAUGGCUGCUACACGCCAGAUUUGCGCGGGACCCAUUGACCCGCCCGACCGUAGCCAGUUCUGUGUCACCUAACUGGGCCUCGCCCACAUCGAGGGCUCUCGCACUCACGGACUACACGUGCGCUUACUGUGCAGAGCUGCCAGUGCGCGCCAUCAGAGCCAGGAGAGAAGUAGCUCGGACAACAGCGGGGUUGAGGCCCACUGCUGCCAGCGAGCCGCAGGUGGGUCCUCCCCCGCCCGAAGACGAGUUCAUCGCUGUCAGCUUCGCCGACGAUAGCUUCAGCCACCACUCUCGGCGUCGGAAAAGGAUUGGGCAUCUCAGUCGGACCGCCUCGACUUUAUUUGAAUGGGGACAAAAAAAGUAACCGUGGUGCUUAUACAGAGCAAGCUCUACAAAAUGCCAUCAGAGCGAUUGAAGAGGGAACUGCUUUGAAGGCUGCAAUUUUCAUCAGUCUGGAGUCCCCCCAAAGACCUUGAGGUGGCAUAGGGAUAAAAAGUUUUGGAGCCUUAAUCAAAGUGUUUAGGCUGCAAAGCAUUUUUUAUGUCAUUAUUCGAGCUCCAGUUAACUGAGCACAUUCAAUCAAUGGAGAGGCCAUUGUUUGGGCUUUCAACGAUUGAUGUAAGGAGGCUGGCCUAUGACCUGGCAGAGAGUUUAGGCUUGAACCAUUGUUUUAAUUCAGAUGAUGGCAAGAUGGCAGGGAAAGACUGAUUCUAUAAUUUUCUAAGAAGACAAGGAACCCUGUCUGUCAGGCGACUAGCAUUUCUAGGAGGGUGGGGUUCAACAGACCGAAGGUGGACCUGUUCUUCCGUAUUUAUGAGGAUGAGCUCCAAAGGCUUGGUGAAAACGUUGACCACACCCGUCUGUGGAAUAUGGAUGAGGUGGGCGUCCAACAAAUUUGUUGCUUCAAAGGGGAAGAGACAGGUGGUUUACUGUCACUGCUGCCUGUUCCAUGAACGCCGCUGGGCAGUUUGUACCACCACUGUUCAUUUUUCCAAGAAAAAGAAUGAAUGAGCGCCUGCUGUGUGGUGCCCCAGCAGGAUCGAUUGGUGACACAGGGUGGAUGGACAGUACACUCCAGUGGCUGAGACAUUUUUGUGACACCAUUGGAUGCACUUUUCAGAGGCCUCACAUUCUGAUAUUGGAUGGCCACCACUUGCAUAAGACCCCUGAGGCUGUGUUGCUUGCGAGAGAGCGUGGGGUGAUAAUGAUUACCAUCCCACCCCACUGCAGCCACAAGAUGCAGCCAUUAGAUCGCACCUUUUUCAAGUCUUUUAAGGCAAAAUACAACACUGCAGACAACGAAUAGAUAUUUAUGCUGUGUGUGGGCUUUUCGAUAAAGCCCACUCAGCUUCAGCGUGUGUGGGGAAGGUCCAAAAGGGUUUCAAGACCUGUGGGAUCUGGCCUCUUGACAAGACCAUCUACAAAGAUGAAGACUUUGAAAGAGCUGAAGUAACUGAGGAGCCAGAUCCAACCCUCGAGGACAGCAGGGAGAUUGAGAAGGAGAUAAGUGCUGGCCCCAGUGGAUCAUCCGUGGUCCCAAGCACUAGCGCCCACUCCCAACCACAGCCUGGGACUGUCUCCAGAUGUCAGCUGAACAUGGCUACUGUCAUCGUCAUCAUCUUAUUGAGUCAGUUCCCCCUCCUCGAUUCUAGAAGAGCUGUCCCCUAGGACAAGGAUAAAAAACAAGAGGCCACGAAAGAGGGCAUGUGAAUCUUCAGCUGUGCUGACCUCCUCGCCAUAUAAAAAAUGUUGGAGGAUAAGAUAGCUGCACAAAACAAAGGCACACAAAAAAAAGUUAAACGCAAAAGCGCAGCUGAAGUGAAGAAUAAGAAGAAAGAUGAAACAGAAUGCCUCUACUGUGGGAAGUUAUUUCAAUUAGUGGGGGGGACUUUUAUAAGGUGUUAGGGGUGCCAAAAAAGGGCACAUGUAGAUUGUUCCAAUGAGAUUCGAGGGGAAUUCAUCUAUGAAAUGUGCAUGGAUGAACAGUGGCUAAUGAAUUAAUUUUUAUUUAUGUAUUUAUUUAUUUAUUACAACAUAUUUGUUUGCACGGCUUAGUUAUAUGUAUAAAUAUAAAUGUUAAAAUGGCUGUAAAUGGCUAAUGAAUUAAUGUUUACGUAUUUAUUUUCCCCAUAGACAGUAAAUAAAUGGACACAGCAACUCCAUUGGAUUCAAUGGAGACAAAUGAAGUCAAUUAGAAGCACGCACCUGGGGGUCGGACGUACUGCGCAGACUCGAACUGAACUUGAUGACAUAGAUGUCACGUGAGCAACCUGUCCAGCAGGAAAUUCAUGUCCGGUAAAGCCAAGGCCAGAUGUUCAGCUCCAAUGUCAGCAAUUGCAUUUCCAUAAAGGCUAAAAAGGUUAAUGGAGAAGGUCCGCUUCAGCGCACUGGCAUAUUGAAGGAGAUGGCAUAUAACAUACACAUCCGAUGGGCAAAGCUGCGUCCCAUAGAAUGACAGAUUGUCAGGCAGGUUCUUCAACAGCAG